rnacentral:rRNA from 1 species
UACGUAGGGGGCAAGCGUUGUCCGGAUUCAUUGGGCGUAAAGAGCGCGCAGGCGGUUUGGUAAGUCGGAUGUGAAAACCCGGGGCUCAACCCCGGGCGUGCAUCUCGAUACUGCCCGACUAGAGGUAGGUAGGGGAGAUCGGAAUUCCUGGUGUAGCGGUGAAAUGCGCAGAUAUCAGGAGGAACACCGGUGGCGAAGGCGGAUCUCUGGGCCUUACCUGACGCUCAGGCGCGAAAGCUAGGGGAGCGAACAGG